CAUUUGCCUAGCCGGAGCUCCAAUCAGAAAAUAGAGAGGCGACGAAGGAACUCCUCACUCACUACUUCAAUCUCGCCACUACACAAGUGCGAGAACUGAAAACAGAUCCGACAUUCAAUUUGGGACUUGGAUCGGCGUUAACAGAGAAAGGGACUGUAGAGAUGGAGGUGAGCAUUAUGGAUAGGAGCAAGAGGAGAUGUGGAAUUGGCACUACCAGAGGAGAGGUAUUUUUAGAUAGAGUUCGCUGUUAUCACUCGGAGUUUCUCUCGAUUUUGGAAUCGGCACUUCCGGAGGAGAGAGGAGCUUCUCUCCUCUCUUCCGAGCAAUUCGUUGUCAUCGAUCACCAUAAUUUGUUCUAUAAAUCAAGAGAUUGGAGACCAUCUAAAAGAGAAAAGCAGAAAUUGCCCAGAAAAAGGAAUAGUUGAAUUCAGGGUUUCCUUGCCGAUAUGGAGCAAGAGCGCCAGUCACAGAAAGAAUUGCAUAUCUUUAUUCAUCCAAUUGAACUCUUUAUUCAUCCAAUUGAAAUA